rnacentral:misc_RNA from 1 species
UACGAACCCGGCAAACGUUAUUCGGAAUUAUUGGGCUUAAAGGGUGCGUAGGCGGUGCGGUAAGUGCGGUGUGAAAUCCCUCGGCUCAACCGAGGAAUUGCGCUGCAUACUGCCGUGCUGGAGGGAGACAGGGGUAAGCGGAACUGAUGGUGGAGCGGUGAAAUGCGUUGAUAUCAUCAGGAACACCGGUGGCGAAAGCGGCUUACUGUGUCUCUUCUGACGCUGAGGCACGAAAGCUAGGGUAGCGAACGGG